rnacentral:tRNA from 11 species
ACGUGGCCAAGUGGUUAAGACACCAGGCUUAUAACCUGGGGGGGGGUCUUAGGUUUGAGCCC